rnacentral:lncRNA from 1 species
UACACGCUGAGGAGCGAGACAAGGUUCAGCAACUUCAAGAAGAACAAGACGAUCGCCGGCCUAGCGAUGACGAUGAUCGGCGACACUCUGGCUUACGGGAUGAAGAUCGAGGACAGGCUGAUGAUCGGGAGGAGAGUGAAGGUGGUGAUGAACGGGGGCGCGCUCACCGGGAAGGGAGACACUGCCUAUGGAGGCACGGUGGAGAUCAGCCUGAGGGACAAGGAUUUCCCGCUGGGACGAUCGCUCUCGACGUGUGGACUGUCG